rnacentral:lncRNA from 1 species
GCAAUCCUUCAGCUCUCCCAUCUCCCACCUCCUCUCCCUCCUCCAGUCAGUAACUCUUCUUGCGGGUACACUUGAUGCCAGUCCCUGUAUGCCAGCUGCUGUGCUAUACAACUGUACUUCUUAAGUGCAACGAAGGAGGGAUGACUUUUGCUACCUCACCUGGACCACAAGGAGGAGGAAGCCAGAGUUUCAGCCAAUCCCUACCACACCCAUUGAUGUUUCAGUGCUGUGAUGUCUGCCUAUGAGAGCUCUGAUUUUGGGUUCUGAACUUUCACCCUGCGGAUGAAGCUUUUGUCCCAAGAAUGCACUGGGGCACCUGGCUCCUGUGGACCUGUUGGAGAACCAUGUUAUGUAGGAGUCUCUGCUUGCAGAUCUGGGCUAGGUCAAGAGAGUGAUGAAGGUUAAUAAAGUCUGAAUGAAUUAGUACUUCUGACUGCA